rnacentral:rRNA from 1 species
UACGGGGGGGGCAAGCGUUGUUCGGAAUUACUGGGCGUAAAGGGCUCGUAGGCGGCCAACUAAGUCGGAUGUGAAAUCCCCAGGCUCAACCUGGGAACUGCAUCCGAUACUGGAUGGCUUGAAUCCGGGAGAGGGAUGCAGAAUUCCAGGUGUAGCGGUGAAAUGCGUAGAUAUCUGGAGGAAUACCGGUGGCGAAGGCGGCAUCCUGGACCGGCAUUGACGCUGAGGUGCGAAAGCGUGGGGAGCAAACAGG